GCAGGAUUUAUUUUGUGAUUAAUCUUU
rnacentral:piRNA from 2 species